rnacentral:lncRNA from 1 species
ACCUUGUAACCAUUAGGCAGAGUUAUAAGAAAUGGAUUAGGUAAUGGAAUGAUGCCAUGUAAUAAGUGUUUGUGAGAGGUUAUAUAGUUUGUGGCUUCUAAAUCUAGGAUACAAGGAUAUAUACCUAUAAGUGUAUUAUCAGAUGCAUGAUUUAAUGAGUUAGCAUUAUAACUAGUAAACAGACCUGCAAAGUGGGCAAAACCAGUAAGGUCUGUAGAAAAAUCAUCAGAAGUGACAGUGUUGCAGUCAGGUGGCAGAGUCUGCUGAAGGAGGCUUUGCAAAUAAAAGUAUUGAUCUUUGGUAAAGCCAUGAGAAUAGACAUCAACAGUUUGGAUUGGUUAUACAGCAGUGAAAGUGGGAAAUUCAGAUGGAAGAGGAUUAGUGUGAACACAAUCAACAACUUUCUUGUUCUUUGUGAACUUGAAAUUUGAAGGAAAGCCAACCAGUUUAUGGCACUUUUCCAUAAUAUGUCCAUGUCUUUUGCAAUAAUUGAAAAAAAAGGAUGGAGUAUUCUGAGGAGUAAAUUGGACUUUCCUGAAGCUAGGAUCAGAAUUAGGUCUUGGAGAAGAAUUUCUGUUAUCCUGGGAAUAACCACUUUUAUUGUACUGAGGGAAACUUCUGUUGUUAUUAUGAUUAAACUG